UAAUAAAGUUUUCAUCCAUUUGUACAAUUAAAAACUGAAGCGGCUAACAAAAUAAAUGAGCAGUGACACAUAAUGUGUCAUGUGUACCUCAUGCUGUUGUACAGGGAUCAGUUUUAAACAAUAGAAAUGAAUGGAAUUUUUAAAA
rfam:Gossypium arboreum cultivar AKA8401 contig_67226_1, whole genome shotgun sequence.